GUCCAGGGGCGGGAAUCGAACCCACAACCUUCUGCUUACCGGGGAGGUGCCAUGUCCACUAGGCUACCCUGGA
rnacentral:tRNA from 1 species